CAGUCGCCGCGGGAAUACGUAGGGUGCGAGCGCUAAUCGGAAUUACUGGGCGUAAAGCGUGCGCAGGCGGUUAUAUAAGACAGAUGUGAAAUCCCCGGGCUCAACCUGGGACCUGCAUUUGUGACUGUAUAGCUAGAGUACGGUAGAGGGGGAUGGAAUUCCGCGUGUAGCAGUGAAAUGCGUAGAUAUGCGGAGGAACACCGAUGGCGAAGGCAAUCCCCUGGACCUGUACUGACGCUCAUGCACGAAAGCGUGGGGAGCAAACAGGAUUAGAUACCCCCGUAGUCCCUGUCUCUUAUAC
rnacentral:rRNA from 1 species